rnacentral:rRNA from 1 species
UUGGUGCUUGCACCAAAUGAAACUAGAUACAAGCGAGCGGCGGACGGGUGAGUAACACGUGGGUAACCUGCCCAAGAGACUGGGAUAACACCUGGAAACAGAUGCUAAUACCGGAUAACAACACUAGACGCAUGUCUAGAGUUUAAAAGAUGGUUCUGCUAUCACUCUUGGAUGGACCUGCGGUGCAUUAGCUAGUUGGUAAGGUAACGGCUUACCAAGGCAAUGAUGCAUAGCCGAGUUGAGAGACUGAUCGGCCACAUUGGGACUGAGACACGGCCCAAACUCCUACGGGAGGCAGCAGUAGGGAAUCUUCCACAAUGGACGCAAGUCUGAUGGAGCAACGCCGCGUGAGUGAAGAAGGGUUUCGGCUCGUAAAGCUCUGUUGGUAGUGAAGAAAGAUAGAGGUAGUAACUGGCCUUUAUUUGACGGUAAUUACUUAGAAAGUCACGGCUAACUACGUGCCAGCAGCCGCGGUAAUACGUAGGUGGCAAGCGUUGUCCGGAUUUAUUGGGCGUAAAGCGAGUGCAGGCGGUUCAAUAAGUCUGAUGUGAAAGCCUUCGGCUCAACCGGAGAAUUGCAUCAGAAACUGUUGAACUUGAGUGCAGAAGAGGAGAGUGGAACUCCAUGUGUAGCGGUGGAAUGCGUAGAUAUAUGGAAGAACACCAGUGGCGAAGGCGGCUCUCUGGUCUGCAACUGACGCUGAGGCUCGAAAGCAUGGGUAGCGAACAGGAUUAGAUACCCUGGUAGUCCAUGCCGUAAACGAUGAGUGCUAAGUGUUGGGAGGUUUCCGCCUCUCAGUGCUGCAGCUAACGCAUUAAGCACUCCGCCUGGGGAGUACGACCGCAAGGUUGAAACUCAAAGGAAUUGACGGGGGCCCGCACAAGCGGUGGAGCAUGUGGUUUAAUUCGAAGCAACGCGAAGAACCUUACCAGGUCUUGACAUCCAGUGCAAACCUAAGAGAUUAGGUGUUCCCUUCGGGGACGCUGAGACAGGUGGUGCAUGGCUGUCGUCAGCUC